rnacentral:lncRNA from 1 species
AAAAAAGAAGAAGAAGAAGAAGAAGAAGAAGAAGAAGAAGAAGAAGAAGAAGAAGAGAAACACAAGAGGCAGAGACCAUAGCUUCUGUGAAGAAGAAUCCCAAGAGAGGAUGGUGUCCUGAAGCCCUCCGGAAAGGAGAGGAUUUUAAGAAUGUGGUCAAGAGAGGAAAAGAAAGAUGCUAAAAACUGUCCAAAAGAUUUGGCUACUAAGUCACUGGUGUCCUUAAAGAGAGCAGGUUUGGUGGGGUUGUGAGAGCCCAAAGUCUGUACCAUUUUGCCCUACCUUCUCUGAAUAGAUUCUAUUCAGCUAUAUUUAUCUAAAAAUGUGGGACUGGGUUAGCAGAGAGGGGCAGAGGCACAGGGAACACUCUGUCUUAACUCCAGCAGCAGCUGUGCUGUCAUGGGAGCUCAAAGCCAUGGCAUGUCAGUUUACGGGCCUGUUCUUGGCUCUGGGUGUGCUGCCAUCUCCACCUGUGAGCUUAUUUUGGGACAUGCAAAAUAUUUAUUUGCAAAAGUACACAACAGCAGACAGCAUGAAAUAAUGGGCCUCAUAAAUAUCCUACAACUGCAACAGCAACACCAAAUGCCUAGGUUAGUGGACUGAAGGAAGAAGGGCACUUCAGGUGAAGGCUGAUGUCCACCUGCUUACUUAUUCAGUUCACUCUUCCAGGAGGCUCCAUCAUGCAGAAUUAUUUUCUUUUGGUGUUAUAUUCUAUCUUAUCUUUCCCGCCCUAUGCAUUAAAAACAGAUUGUGUUUUUGUUUGUUUGGGGUGUACAUUGACCUAAAAUUAAGGGAUUACAAUUUGGUCAUAAAUUGUAAUCCCAUCAUUUUAAUAGAGGCCAUGCCUCUAAGAAUACAUUAAUGAUUGUUAGCUUGUCUUCAUAUUCUCUACUUUGAUGUCCUUCUGUCGCUCUGGAGAGCCAUCUAGUCUUUUAAAAGAGCACGGUUGCACAUUUGUUAAGGCAUAAGGGGGCUAACUUGUUCUUUUCUGUAUAUGACUCUACCAACUGUGACCUUACAAAGCAGAAAGGAGAUAUCUACAGUAUUAUGGUGACGAUUUGUGGAGG